rnacentral:rRNA from 1 species
GACAGAGGGUGCAAACGUUGUUCGGAAUUACUGGGCGUAAAGCGCGUGUAGGCGGCCCUGCAAGUCGGAUGUGAAAUCCCACGGCUCAACCGUGGAAGUGCAUUCGAAACUGCAGGGCUAGAGUCCUGGAGAGGAAGGUGGAAUGCUUGGUGUAGAGGUGAAAUUCGUAGAUAUCGGAAGCGAACACCGGUGGCGAAGGGCGG